CUGUUACCUUGGGUGACUCCGAACCUUCUACCCUUGUUGAUCACAGGGAUUCAUCUAUGACAGGGACACAUCGUGAGCACUGUCCAGGUCCAGCGGACUUUGAAGAAUAUUCGGAACU